GAACCAGUGUUUGUUGUCACGAGGUUGACGGGCGCCAUUUUAAAGCAUAACACAACGAAGAAGUUAGAUCAAGAAAAGAUAUGGUUGAACUGUACCAAGAUGCUAGCAAUACAUCUUUUUGUGUUUCUUGAGGAGAAACCAAGCAUCAUCAGUUGUGUCAAGAUCGGUUCUGCACUCAAGCUUGCAAGAAGAAGAUUGGAAACAGGAAUCAAUGGGAACAAUGACCUGAGAUGUGUGAGAAGUUGUGCAUGGAGGCAGCCAAUUGCACGCAGGGACUCAUGCAAAGGCUGCUGUAGAGACUCUUUAAGUGCCCUUUAAUUGCCUCGUGAUGCCAAGAAGAUUUUCUGUAGUGAAACUCUUGCCUUCAUUCUUCAAGGCACACAAGGCAAAAUGUCGUCAAGUUGUUAUUCUUUCUUAAUUUAUUUGUAGCUAAACACAAGUAAAUUAAAACAGUGUUCAUUAUAGACGAUCAGAGCAUACUGGGAUUCAAACCAACGACCCUUGCAACUCAUAGAGCAGUAUCUUACCAACUAUAUAGGCUAAGCCGAGAUUGCCUGGUAGCUAGAGGCACUUUUAAUCCUAUGUUUUGGCAGCGGGUUGCGCAACAAUGUAUAAUAGAGGUUAAAUUAGCUAGCGGGCAAUCUUGGUAGUCUAGUUGGUAAGACACUGCUCUAAAAUUGCAAGGGUCAUGGGUUUGAAAUAUGCUUGUGAUAUAUUUUCUCACAGUACUCAGGGAUACAGUGCUAGCACACAUUGGUGUUUACAGGUAGAAUAAUAUUCUUAAUAUUCUUUAUCCCCGGUGUAAAUUUAACAUCUAUUAUACAGAGCAUACUGAUCGAAACACCAGUUGAAACCAUUGGUUCUUUUCAGAACCACCGCAACUCAUUAAGAGACUUUAAACAGCAUUUUUAAAACCACCUUUUUUAAAAAACAAAACAAAAUAAAAAUUAAUCUAUUAAAAAGGUUCACCCAAAUGUGAGCACCCCAAUGUGAGCACAAUGUCAACAAGUGUUUGCCUAGAAAAACAUUUGUUUCAAAAUGUCAAAAACAAUAAAAAUUGUUCUCAAACUGAUUUUGUUAACUUUUUGACUGAGAAAGUGUUAAUACUUGAAAGUAUCACAUUGGCUUUAUAAAACAUCUGUUUCAAAAAGCUUGGAUACUUAUUUCAUAUUGUUACAAAACUUUCCCCAAUUUGUGUAUUAAUUUGUACAUUUAUUUUUUACUUGUCAUUAUUCUGUUUAAACUUAUAUAAAGUAUUUGAAGGAACACAUUGCCUUGGAUCGGACGAGUUGGUCUAACAAAAGCG